CAUGGUAUAGGCUGUGAAAAUUGAAUGCAACAGCGUGAAAGUAUGACUUCCUGCAGGACCACAACAACAAGUAAUGGAGUGCUUCUUGUACGGUAACGUUGAACCACUCGCUCCAUUGAUACUAUGGUGUUUGUCUUCGGCUCAAUUACAUCUUGUUCAUUUUGUUAAUUCUGCCUGGGUUGUUGUUAUGAUUAAUAUUUUUUGUCUGUGUUGAAUAUAAAAGAAUAAUUAGGAAAACAUGUAUGUAGUUUGUAUCUGUAGAGUUAAGGGAUAAUUUAUUUGCAUUGCUUGUUGUAUUCAUGCUGCUGAAGUAUUAGUGUUCACUCUGUUAGAAGAAGACCGCGUUUAUGUUUUUAUGGGUAUUAAGGAUAUUAGUUUGGCAAAUGUAAUUUAACAAAUCAGUAACUUUGCUAUUCUUCUUGAAAAGGUGCCGAAAUCAAGUCGAUAAUGGGGUCGUUCCGUGUUCACUAUGCUAUGAGGCUUUGGUUUGUAUAUUGUUUCUAUCUCUUGUAUGAUAAUUAGGCUUAAGUGUGGGGGUGUGUGCUUUGGAAUCAUAUUGCUUGGUAUAUCUUUCAUAUUUGUACAGAAUUUGGUGACAUUGUAAAAUAUGCAUUGUAAGUAUUUUGUUUUCAUUAUGCUAAAUUGAAAUUUUAAUUCGCGGAUCCGACAACUUCAUGUCGGUAUAUCGCCA
rnacentral:lncRNA from 1 species